CGCCAAUCGCCGGAGAAUCGCCGAUCCACGCCAUGAGUUCCGACGAGCUUCUCGAGAUCGAGCCCCCCGAGCUCAAAUUUCCCUUCGAGCUGAAGAAGCAGAUCUCUUGCUCGCUCCACCUCGUCAACAAGACGGAUCAACACGUCGCUUUCAAGGUGAAGACGACGAGCCCGAAGAAGUACUGCGUGCGUCCGAACAACGGCAUCGUGCUGCCCCGUUCUACAUGCGAUGUCAUUGUGACUAUGCAAGCGCAGCGGGAGGCGCCUCCUGACAUGCAGUGCAAGGACAAGUUCCUUGUGCAGAGUGUGAUUGUGGAUCUGCCUGCGGCAGAUGCAAAGGAGAUAACUCCGGAGAUGUUUUCGAAGGAGUCAGGUAAUAUUGUGCACGAGGUUAAGUUGAGAGUGACAUAUGUGCCACCCCCUCAGCCGCCCUCGCCGGUUCGUGAGGGUUCUG
rnacentral:misc_RNA from 1 species